GGCGGCAUUGGCGAUGAAGGCGUUCGAUCUCUCAAGAAGUUCGUCGAGGACGGCGGCCGCGUUGUCUGCUUCGAUCGCGGAUGCGACCUC
rnacentral:tRNA from 1 species